ensembl:lncRNA
GCACAUGAAGCCCUACAGAUGCCGCCGCUUCAACAAUGCUGAUUAUGAUGGGCGGUGAAUUUAACCUUUGCCUUAUUAAGUCCUCCACAGUAGCCCCAUCAGUCCCUGGCAGUCUGGUCCCUGGAGCAGCUGGCCCUGGAUCACCUGGCCCUGGAUCACCUGCCCCUGGAUCACCUGCCCCUGAAUCACCUGCCCCUGGCAAAGUGGCCUCUUGAUUGCUCUCUCUGUCAUGUCCUUUUCAUCGCUCUUGAAAUCCACCUCAAUUUCUCCCUCAAUCUCUGCAACAAUUACAAGGGCGAUGAAUGAAAACUGUUGGAACUGCAUCGGGCCUCAACUUCAACAUCCCUUCUCUUUUUGUGGCAGUGAAUUGGUCAUCUUCAAAGUGUACCUGUAGGUAGGCUUGUAAGAUCAGUUUUCAUUGCACUUCAAAUAUCAUUGAAAAGUCAUAAUUCUCUACACUUAGAAUCAUUAUGCCCUUUGAAAUGCUAUCAAGUGAUGCGAACAUUACUUACAUAACAUAGUUUUUGACUGUUGCUGACCCCUGUCACUUGUACGUUUUGACGGCUGACCAUUGCCAUCCAUUUCUUCCUGCGCUCUUGGUCCUUGGGGAAGCCAUACAUGUGGUAACCCUUCUCGGACCGAUUGGAGCAUCCAUACACUGCACAGCCAACCAUGGUAUGACCAUUGAUCUAAACCAAUUUUGAAUUUGCUCAGG